GACAGAGGUGCCGAGCGUUAGGCGGAAUCACUGGGCUUAAAGCGUGUGUAGGCGGGUCGUUAAGUGUCUUGUGAAAUCCCACCGCUCAACGGUGGGAACUGCUGGGCAUACUGGCGAUCUUGAGCCACCUAGGGGCAGACGGAACAAGCGGUGGAGCGGUGAAAUGCGUAGAUAUCGCUUGGAACGCCGACGGUGAAAACAGUCUGCUGGGGUGUGCUGACGCUGAGACACGAAAGCCAGGGGAGCGAACGGG
rnacentral:rRNA from 1 species